rnacentral:rRNA from 1 species
CUACGGAGGGUCCGAGCGUUAUCCGGAAUCAUUGGGUUUAAAGGGUCCGUAGGCGGGAAUGUAAGUCAGUGGUGAAAUCUUGCAGCUCAACUGUAAAAUUGCCAUUGAUACUGGAUUUCUUGAAUUAGUGUGAAGUGGUUAGAAUGUGUAGUGUAGCGGUGAAAUGCAUAGAUAUUACACAGAAUACCAAUUGCGAAGGCAGAUCACUAACACUAUAUUGACGCUAAGGGACGAAAGCGUGGGGAGCGAACAGGAUUAGAUACCCGGGUAGUCC